rnacentral:rRNA from 1 species
UACGUAGGGGGCGAGCGUUAUCCGGAUUCAUUGGGCGUAAAGCGCGCGUAGGCGGCCUGUUAGGUCGGGGGUCAAAUACCGGGGCUCAACCCCGGUCCGCCCCCGAUACCGGCAGGCUUGAGUCUGGUAGGGGAAGGCGGAAUUCCCAGUGUAGCGGUGGAAUGCGCAGAUAUUGGGAAGAACACCGGCGGCGAAGGCGACUUACUGGACUGUAACUGACGUUGAGGCACGAAAGUGUGGGGAGCAAACAGG